rnacentral:rRNA from 1 species
UACGUAGGUGGCGAGCGUUGUCCGGAAUUACUGGGUGUAAAGGGCGUGUAGGCGGGACUGUAAGUCAGAUGUGAAAUUCCAGGGCUUAACUCUGGAGCUGCAUCUGAAACUAUGGUUCUUGAGUGCUGGAGAGGAAAGCGGAAUUCCUAGUGUAGCGGUGAAAUGCGUAGAUAUUAGGAGGAACACCAGUGGCGAAGGCGGCUUUCUGGACAGUAACUGACGCUGAGGCGCGAAAGCGUGGGGAGCAAACAGG